GCACCCCCGGCCCGUUUGGAACUUGCCCUUGUCAAAGGCGGAGCAAGAGCGUACACGUUGGGACCCGAAAGAUGGUGAACUAUGCCUGAGCAGGCUGAAGCCAGGGGAAACCCUGGUGGAGGGCCGUAGCGAUUCUGACGUGCAAAUCGAUCGUCCGACUUGGGUAUAGGGGCGAAAGACUAAUCGAACCAUCUAGUAGCUGGUUCCCUCCGAAGUUUCCCUCAGGAUAGCAGGCGCUCGAGGAUGCAGUUUUAUCCGGUAAAGCGAAUGACUAGAGGCCUUGGGGCCGAAACGACCUCAACCUAUUCUCAAACUUUAAAUGGGUAAGAAGCCCUGCUCGCCCGAUCGG
rnacentral:rRNA from 1 species